rnacentral:rRNA from 1 species
AUUGAACGCUGGCGGCAUGCCUUACACAUGCAAGUCGAACGGCAGCGCGGGAGCAAUCCUGGCGGCGAGUGGCGAACGGGUGAGUAACAUAUCGGAACGUGCCCUGGAGUGGGGAUAACUAGUCGAAAGAUUAGCUAAUACCGCAUACGAUCUACGGAUGAAAGUGGGGGAUCGCAAGACCUCAUGCUCGUGGAGCGGCCGAUAUCUGAUCAGCUAGUUGGUAGGGUAAAAGCCUACCAAGGCAUCGAUCAGUAGCUGGCUGAGAGGACGACCAGCCACACUGGGACUGAGACACGGCCCAGACUCCUACGGGAGGCAGCAGUGGGGAAUUUUGGACAAUGGGGCAACCCUGAUCCAGCAAUGCCGCGUGAGUGAAGAAGGCC